GAGGGAGGGUGGGGACUUUGUGGGCGGGCGCGGGCUUGGCCGCGGACUCUAACCCGCGACGGCAGUUAGCACGUCACGCCUUUCUGGGGUUAAAAAAAGACAAACCCGACAGAGAAAGCUUCCUUCUACCGCUUCCUCUCCGCCUUUCUUUUCAGUUUUUGCACCGCCUCCUUUCUCCCCCACCCCCUCCAGUGGUUUCUUUCGUUUGGGUUUGAGAGCCAUGGGUUAAUAGAGGCAAUUAAAAUCUCAGCGUUGUUUUGGUCAAAUUGAAAUCCUAAAACUAAAAUUUCCGUUAGGUACUCUAAAUUCACGAGCCUUCAAAUAUAAAAGGAAGAUAAGGCGAAUGAAAAGAGAGAGAGAAUGGUGACCAGAGGAGGACAGUUCAAUCUUUUUCAAUAACAUUCAGAACUAUCCAAUAUUUAUUGAGUGUCUAUUAGGUGCCAAGCACCUUAAUAGGUCCUAUGGAUUUGAAAUGCCGUCCCUGUCUUAGAUCUCACGGUCUACUGGAGGACACAGAGAAGUAAGCAGGCAGUUGCAGUACAAUGUAACACUGAGUGCUGUCUGUGUGUGAUGUCAUUUCAGCAAAGCUUCAGAAGGCAGAGGGGAAGCUCUUCCAUCAACCUUAUACCUACAAUAAUUUGUUUCCCUUGCAAUUAGGUGCUGCUGCAAGACUGAGUUCCAGCCAGUGGAAUGUGUGCAACUUCCAGGCCUGGCCCAUAAAGACCUCUUGCAUAUGAGCCUUUCACUCUUCUCCCAUCUGAUAGCUGGAUGUUGACGUCAAGGAUGAUGCUAGACGCCAGAUGUGGAAGAUAGAAAAGCCUCUACCUGCCUGGGUCCCUACUGGCAAUUUAUAACCAGGAAAUUGAUCUGUGAGGUUAAGUGAGAAAUUAGCAUUUAAUUUGCUGUGUGUGAUUUUAAACAUUACUAUUUUAAAAGAUUGUGGAAAAAUACAUAUGACAUAAAAUUGACCAUGUUAACCAUUUUUAAGUGCACAGUUCUGUGGCAUUAAGUACAGUCACAUAGUUGUGCAACCAUCACCCCCAUCCUUCUCCAGAAGUCUUUUCAUCUUGCAAAACUGAGAUUCUGUACCCAUUUAACAAUAACUCCCCAUUCCCUGGAAACCACUCUUCUACCUUGCGUCUCUAUGAAUGGAAUCACACAAUAUUUGUCCUUCUGUAACUGGCUUAUUCACUUAAACAUUUAAUCUUAUAAGCCACUGAAAUUUGGGAUGUGUUUGUUAUAACAGCUAGAAUUACAUACUGUGUGCCUGGAACAGAGUAGAUCCUCAAAUAAAUGUUUGCUGAGUAAGUGAA